UACGAAGGGGGCUAGCGUUGUUCGGAAUCACUGGGCGUAAAGCGCACGUAGGCGGAUUGUUAAGUCAGGGGUGAAAUGCCAAGGCUCAACCUUGGAACUGCCUUUGAUACUGGCAAUCUCGAGUCCGGGAGAGGUGAGUGGAACUGCGAGUGUAGAGGUGAAAUUCGUGGAUAUUCGCAAGAACACCAGUGGCGAAGGCGGCUCACUGGCCCGGUACUGACGCUGAGGUGCGAAAGCGUGGGGAGCAAACAGG
rnacentral:rRNA from 1 species